rnacentral:rRNA from 1 species
UACGUAGGUGGCAAGCGUUGUCCGGAUUUACUGGGCGUAAAGCGCGUGUAGGCGGCUACGCAGGUCCGUUGUGAAAACUGGAGGCUCAACCUCCAGACGUCGACGGAAACCGUGUGGCUAGAGUCCGGAAGAGGAGAGUGGAAUUCCUGGUGUAGCGGUGAAAUGCGCAGAUAUCAGGAAGAACACCAAUGGCGAAGGCAGCUCUCUGGGACGGUACUGACGCUGAGACGCGAAAGCGUGGGGAGCGAACAGG